UCUCCGGAGAAAGCGCUCACGUUCCUCAAACCACUGUUUGAUGGAGCACAGGCUGAGGGAAACCAAAAUCUCUCGUGUGGGAAGGCAUCAGAUCAUCAAGGUAACUAAGCUCCCGUUUGGAAAAACAGAAGUCCAGCAGCUUGCGGAUGAACACUAAUGCCAGGACCUGCAGGAAAUAAACACGCUCAUACUGUAUUAUUCUUAUGGUUCUUAAAACACUGCUCCACGUCACUAGGAAACACGAUUGCGGCAGGGGAAUGUUUAAUGACCCAGAGCAGCACAAGGCAGAGAUGAGACGCCCAUAUAAAGAAAAACACCAUAGAGAACCGGCAUGGGAAUGAACUGUGAAACAAAAAUAGGGUGCCAGACUCUAAUCUAAUCAUACAAGCAAAUGGGUCUAAAACAAGACACGUACAAACGGCACAAAAAGAGGAUACUUGUGGAUUAUGAAUGGGAGCAAAAUACUUUGAGGACUGAAGAAUCACGUUCAUCGUUGUAAGUUAAAGAGUUUUCACCUUGUGGGAAUGGGAACUUCAGUGAGUCCAGUCAGCAGUACAGCUGGAGACAAGCGAACAAAUGCAACGAUGGAUCUCUCUAAAAAGUCCAGCUCUCCAACCAGCACAUUGGAAGCUUCUGCUCCAGUAGGAAUCUUUUUCAUGAAAUGUGUGUCCACCUAUGGAGGAAGAUGGUCAUAGCGGUGUAAUUUGCAUACUGUUGCAACAUUUCGUAAAGGCUGUUACUCUAAAACAACUGCUGAAAUGGGAAGAAUAUUUUAUUUAUUUAUUUUCAAAAUUUGAAUAAAUUAAUAAUAAUAAUUAAUUCACAUCACAAAAUGCAGCUGCCAGAGUUCUUACCAGAUCUAGAAAAUAUGACCAUAUCACCCCAAUUUUAUCCUCCUUACACUGGCUGUCUGUUAAGUUUCGUAUUGAUUAUAAAAUAUUGCUUCUUACCUACAAAGCUUUAAAUAAUCUAACUCCUGUUUAUCUAACCAACCUUGGCUCACUACAAUCCAACCCGCUCUAUAGGAUCUAAAAACUCAGGGCUUCUGGUAGAAUCCAGGAUGGCAAAGUCUACUAAAAGAGGUCAGGCCUUCUCAUUUAUGGCUCUAUGGCUGGGACUCGUGGAGUGCGCAUCGAUGGAUUUCCUCGUCAGUGUUUGGAUUUUCAGCAGUAAAAUCUAAACCACACUGAACUGAACUAAACUGAACUUAAACUCUUAAAACUGGCAAAGUUUCAAUUCAUUAGAACAAUGUUAAGCUGCUUUGACACAAUCUACAUUGUAAAAGCGCUAAAUAAAUAAAUGUGAAUUUAAUUAAUUUAUGAAGGUAUAAAAAGCAGAACCACCCAACUAUCUGUAUCAGGAUUCACAGAUUUCAAUCUGAAUAAUCAAUUAUUGGUUUUGACUGAGACUGAGAUCUGUAAAAUCUAUUUCAGUUAUUUUUUCUUUUAAGUCAUCCAAUAGUUAUACUUUUUUUCAACCUUAUUUUAGUUAUAGAUGAAUAAUUAAUCUUGUGGUUGUUCUACUUACAAACUCCAGCUGUUCAUUUGGGUCAGGGUGACAGUUAUAGAUAAGACGAACAGCAGGUAUGUAAUCUGAUUGGGGAGUCUCUCUGCCAUCUUUACAGCCACUCUAAAUGGCUGACAUCUGCUUCAUUACAGCUAAUUUCCUGUUUUGAUAUGUGGCAUAACAUUACGCAAACAAGCUGCGGUAUCUAUACAGACCACCAGGUGGCAGUGCUUGUGUGUACGUGUGAGUGCGUUUGUCCCAGAUGUUCUUUGGUAAUCGAUACUCCAGUGGGCAGGCAGAACACAAACAGAAAUAAACAGAUUAAAGCUGUUUGGUUUAAUAGGUUGACAUAACACCAUCUUUCUUCUCAUGUGCUUUAAUAUAUAUAUUUUUAUCUUUCUAUUUCAUAGAUUAUUUAUUCGUCUGCUUCCCCUAAAACAGGAUGCAUUAUUUGUUUUAUUAGGCUUUUAAAUGAUUUUUUUCAUUAUGAUUGUAACCAUAAAUUUCUCUGUCUGAAUUUGCUAAACACAUUAUGCAUUUUGAUCAUUCUUGAGAUUGUGCCAUUUGUAAUUCACACAAACCUAUGAAUGUCUCUUUUGCUAUGGUUAAUUUCUAUUUUUUUUAAAUGUAAAAAAAAUAAACUUCAGUUC
rnacentral:lncRNA from 1 species